GUAGGGAGGGAGCAGAGAGACAGCACGAGCUUCCUGUGUUGUAAAGAAAGGGGGCGGAGCCUGAGACUCCCAAUCUGACAGGCAGGAAGCGAGGCCUCCAAUCCGGCCUUUCCGGUGCGAUAAGCGGGGACAGGAGGUCAGCACAGCCCGGGCAUCCGGAGGAGGAGGAGGGGGGAGGAAGCCAACAUAACAUCCCAUGGACAAGCUGCCGGUCCUGGAGUCUGCGGCUGCAGGAGGAGGGAGUGCAGCACCUCCAGCCAGGAAACCUCCCCGGCCAUCCGCGCCCCCCUCUAUAACCACCUCCCGGCAGCCCAGCGUGGAGACCCUGGAGAG